UACGGAGGGGGCUAGCGUUGUUCGGAAUUACUGGGCGUAAAGCGCACGUAGGCGGCUUUGCAAGUCAGAGGUGAAAGCCCGGGGCUCAACCCCGGAAUAGCCUUUGAGACUGCAUCGCUAGAAUUGUGGAGAGGUAAGUGGAAUUCCGAGUGUAGAGGUGAAAUUCGUAGAUAUCUGGAGGAACACCGGUGGCGAAGGCGACGUCCUGGACCGGCAUUGACGCUGAGGCGCGAAAGCCAGGGGAGCAAACAGG
rnacentral:rRNA from 1 species